GACGAACGCUGGCGGCGCGCUUAACACAUGCAAGUCGAACGGUGAACCGGGCUUCGGCCCGGGGAUCAGUGGCGAACGGGUGCGUAACACGUGGGCAACCUGCCCCUCACUCUGGGAUAACCCCGGGAAACCGGAGCUAAUACCGGAUACUCCGACCGGUCCGCAUGGUCCGAUCGGGAAAGGUCCGCCGGUGAGGGAUGGGCCCGCGGCCUAUCAGCUUGUUGGUGAGGUAACGGCUCACCAAGGCGACGACGGGUAGCUGGUCUGAGAGGACGACCAGCCACACUGGGACUGAGAUACGGCCCAGACUCCUACGGGAGGCAGCAGUGGGGAAUCUUGCGCAAUGGGCGAAAGCCUGACGCAGCGACGCCGCGUGGGGGACGAAGGCCCUCGGGUUGUAAACCCCUUUCGGCAGGGACGAAGCGAACGUGACGGUACCUGCAGAAGAAGCCUCGGCUAACUACGUGCCAGCCGCCGCAGUAACAC
rnacentral:rRNA from 1 species